AUUGAACGCUGGCGGCAUGCCUAACACAUGCAAGUCGAACGAACCCUUCGGGGUUAGUGGCGCACGGGUGCGUAACGCGUGGGAAUCUGCCCAAAGGUUCGGAAUAACACAGAGAAAUUUGUGCUAAUACCGGAUAAUGUCUUCGGACCAAAGAUUUAUUGCCUUUGGAUGAGCCCGCGUUGGAUUAGCUUGUUGGUGAGGUAACGGCUCACCAAGGCGACGAUCUAUAGCUGGUCUGAGAGGAUGAUCAGCCACACUGGGACUGAGACACGGCCCAGACUCCUACGGGAGGCAGCAGUGGGGAAUAUUGGACAAUGGGCGAAAGCCUGAUCCAGCAAUGCCGCGUGAGUGAUGAAGGCCUUAGGGUUGUAAAGCUCUUUUACCAGGGAUGAUAAUGACAGUACCUGGAGAAUAAGCUCCGGCUAACUCCGUG
rnacentral:rRNA from 1 species